UACAGAGGGUGCAAGCGUUGUUCGGAGUUACUGGGCGUAAAGGGUGCGUAGGCGGUUGGUUACGUUUGGUGUGAAAUCUCCCGGCUCAACUGGGAGGGUGCGCCGAAUACUGAAUGACUAGAGUGCGGGAGAGGAUAGUGGAAUUCCUGGUGUAGCGGUGAAAUGCGUAGAUAUCAGGAGGAACACCGGUGGCGAAGGCGGGUCUCUGGGCCGUUACUGACGCUGAGGAGCGAAAGCGUGGGGAGCGAACAGG
rnacentral:rRNA from 1 species